GAGGAAAAGAAANCCAACAGGGAUUGCCCUAGUAACGGCGAGUGAAGCGGCAACAGCUCAAAUUUGAAAUCUGGCGCAAGCCCGAGUUGUAAUUUGUAGAGGAUGCUUCUAGGUAGCGGCCGGUCUAAGUUCCUUGGAACAGGACGUCAUAGAGGGUGAGAAUCCCGUACGUGACCGGCUGGCACCCUCCACGUAGCUCCUUCGACGAGUCGAGUUGUUUGGGAAUGCAGCUCUAAAUGGGAGRUAAAUUUCYUCUAAAGCUAAAUACCGGCCAGAGACCGAUAGCGCACAAGUAGAGUGAUCGAAAGAUGAAAAGCACUUUGGAAAGAGAGUUAAAAAGCACGUGAAAUUGUUGAAAGGGAAGCGCUUGCGGCCAGACUUGUCGGCGGCGUUCCGCCGGUCUUCUGACCGGUCUACUCGGCGCCGACAGGCCAGCAUCAUCUAGGGCCGCCGGAUAAAGGCUUUGGGAAUGUAGCUCCCCUCGGGGAGUGUUAUAGCCCUCUACACAAUACGGCGCGCCCCGGGUGAGGUCCGCGUCUCGGCAAGGAUGUUGGCGUA
rnacentral:rRNA from 1 species